UGUGAUGAAUUGUUAUUUAUAGUAUCAUGGAAUUCCAAAGAAAAUAACUACGUUUUCAACUUCACCUAGCCUAGCUGAAUAUCAGCUACAGAACAGACCGGAAUUUCACUGACACUCAUGUGACGUUUAAGUUGACAUUUAAGCUGCCGCCUGCCGCCGCCAACAGAAACAAAAGUCCACUAGUCUUGACAGUUGUAUUUUAUUGAAUAGAUUAUUGUUAUGUGAUUGUUCUUUCUGUAAUUAAAUAAACAUUUCAAAACAGUUCGAAAAAAUUGAUAACGGAAACAUAUUGUUUGCUAUGUAGUAAUACGCUUUCAUAACUUGAGGUCGCUUUAUUCGCUUUCGUUGGUAGUAUACAGAAUAAAUACACAAGAAUUCAAGAAUGUUUUUUCUAAUUUGUUAAAAACGGCAGCAAACCAAGCAUGUCGAAAAUAAAAACAAAAUGAAAACGAAUUUAUCUUCAUCAAAUAUUGCAGCAUACGAUAAACAGUCAAUUAGCAGUGAAAACAGGUCUAUCAGUCCAUCUUCGAGUCCUAGAAGUAGCCCUAGGCCUUCUCCCAGGCCACAAACUAAGAGAGAUCAUUCUAAGUCAGAUACUUACCUCAGUGUUUCCUACAAAGAACAAACAUCUAAACAUGAUGGAUCUCCUUCCCCUUCUAGCCAAGAUAGUUCAUCAAGUCAACGUCUAAGUAACGCCAAUAGCAUCGAAAUAACCCCACCACAAGACUACAAAUCAGAACUAACAAAUUCAACAAACUCAUCUAAAGAGAAAAGAGAGGGAAGGGGAAAGAAAAAGUCUUCUUGGUUUAAUUCUCUAUAUCCUACCUAUAAAUCAAGAUCGGAGGAUUUCAAGAAAAUUUUUAAAGACGUACCGGACGUUGAAAGGCUCGUUGUAGACUAUUCUUGCGCUUUGCAAAAAGAGAUUCUGCAACAAGGUCGAUUGUACGUUACACAAAACUAUCUCUGCUUUUACGCUAAUAUUUUCGGCUGGGAAACUAAUCUGACUAUAAAAUGGAAGGACGUAGCGGCUAUAACAAAGGAAAAGACAGCUCUAGUGAUUCCAAAUGCAGUUUUGAUCAGCACCAAAGGAGAGAAGUACUUCUUUACCAGUUUCGUUUCGAGAGAGAAGACCUAUUUGAUGUUGUUUCGGGUAUGGCAGAAUGCGCUUAUGGAUCAACCUAUGCUCCCUCAAGAGAUGUGGCAAUGGGUUCAUCAAUCUUAUGGCAAUGAAUUAGGUUUAACUAGUGACGACGAAGACUACGUACCUCCUGCCAACGAAGAGGACAAACUUUCCGUUAGACACUCAGUUGAAUCAUUUUCAGAACACGAAAGUCAAGGACAACCAGAAGGCACAAUGGAGCAGACGUCCACAGGGACAUCGGAAAAAGCCGACACUGAUGAAAUUAAAGUGCCACAUGUCAGUCACAAACGAACGCUAUCAGAUUCACGAAAUCCUACUGAUGCCACUGAUAAUUCCGAAUCUGAAGUUGAGAAACCUAUCAAAAAAAAUUUUUCGUUUUCUUUCUUGAAGGAAGCCUUCACGAAAGAAUCGCAUAAUCCACCAACUCCCGAAUCUGAGGGGCCUAGUCCAGUUUUGGAAUAUUCCAAAAAUGAUGUUAAAGUCACCUGCACAUCUCCUCACGAAGGUCGACAAAUGUGGAACGAAGUUUUCCCCAUUCACGUGGAUCAACUGUUCACCUUACUGUUCACAAGCUCCAAAUUCUACUUGGACUUUCACGCAGCCAGAAAAACUACAGACCUUACUCAAACUCCUUGGACCCAUAAUCCGUUAGACAACAGUAAAAGUAGAGUAGUCAGUUUAACAGUAGCUCUUAUGGCGAGUAUGGGACCCAAAUCUGCACAAGUUACAGAGAGACAGUCUAUGAAUCCCUGCAGCAAAGCAGGUCAAUUGUAUUCAAUAGAUAUAGAGUCAUUAAACGCUGGAGUUCCUUACGCCGAUAGUUUUUGUGUCAACGCUCACUACUGCCUUAGUAAAGUAUCUGAGACACAUUCUUCCUUAACUAUUAUAGCACAAGUGAAAUACAAAAAGUCUGUUUGGGGUUUAGUUAAAGGUAUGAUUGAAAGAAAUUGUUAUGCGGGCGUAGAAGACUAUGUCCAACAUUUAUCGAGAGCGUUGCAUGCGGAAGCCGAAGAAAGUGUUCCUGAAGUUAAAAGGAAAACAAAGAGGAAAAGAAGACACAAUAGUCCUAGGGGUGCUAUCGAAGAAAGUGUGCCGGCAAAGAAGAAACCUACCGAAGGUAUCUUUAGCAGCGAAGUAUGUACAAUGAUAGUGUUUGCUGUAUUAUUAAUGUUAGUGGUAUUAAAUGUAAUGUUAUACGUCAAAUUGUGGUCUUUAGAAGAGGCACCGUCGUAUAAUUUACUGGAUUUACAUUUAUUAAAGAAUCCGCCUCAGUCUCACGAGGAGUGGAUAAAAUUGUUACAACAACAAGAAGCUUUGCAUACAGUAGAAGCUCAAAAGUGGCAAAAAUUACUAAGGAAUUCUAUACAGCUCCUAAGACAAGCUGAAGAAUCUCUCAACGAGCUUCAAAGUUCGAUUCAAUCGACUUACUCUAGCAAAUUAGUGUCAAUUUUACAGCAGCAAGUGGGCCAAGAAGAAAAUAAACAAGAAUUAUAGACAUUUUUAACAAAUUGCAGGAUCCUUGCAUACAUUUGACAGUUUUUUUACCACGUCAAAGUCUACAAAGACAUGUUAGUAAAAAUAUGAAUGAUAUUUAUGAUGAUAUGAAUGGUAUUUAUGAUUUAUUUUUAUAUAUUGUGGGACUCGUGAAUGACUGCUAGUGUGUUUUUAAUUUUAUAAUAUUUAUUUAUUUCAUAUUAAGAUUUACAAGAUUUUUAGGGAGAUUGAAUUAAGAUGUCAAAUAACAAAAGGUUUUACUUGAAUCUGUAAGUGAUUAAUUUCUUUGCUGUAUUUUUGUACAAUACGUUUAGUUUUCGAUUAGGUACAGGCGACUGAAGGAAACGCUAAAAUCGGCAACAUUGCUAUGGGAAUGCGUUGCAUUGCCAAUGUAGAAUGACAAAUGACUGAAUGAGUCGGCGCGAAUCAAUUGUAUUGAUGACAGCGGGAAAGCAGUGUUGCCAUUUAUAGGUUGUAUAUCUAAUUUAAAACUAAACAACCUGUAGAUGGUUUAGAUUUUAGAUGAUUGCCAAUGUAGAAAUGCAUGGGAUUUCUAUAUAUAAACAAGUACUGCUUGGCAAAUUUCAGUGCCUUCAUAACCUUUAAGUGCAUAGUCGCAAAGGCCGACUAAAUCUCCGGGUCGGCACAUUAGAUGCGGCAACGCUGUGAGCCUCUCGAAUAUAGUUUGUUUUGUUUGGGAAAUUUGAAAAUAAAGAUAAAAUAUGUUUAAAAAAAGUUAUAAGUUUUUAAUCUAAUAGCACAUAAAAUGAUAUUUAAAAUACCAUUUUAUAUCAUACCAGAUUAAAAACAUUACCAAUAAUAAAUAAAAGAUUAUCUAGGAAGAAAAAAACGUACCUCAGUUUCCUUGAUAUGGAAAAAAGCAUUCGAUAAAGUACCUAGAUCAAAGUAGGGAAAAGUCUGAAGAACAGAAACAUACCAGAGAAACUUAUACGGGUAACUAAAUCUAUAUACAGAGACACUGAGAACUGUGUGAUAAGUAAAAAUAUGAUAUCUGACCAGUUCAGAACAACUGAAGGUGUAAGACAAGGGGGAAGCUUGAAUCCGUUACUGUUUAUUACGUUUAUGGACGAAAUAAUAAAAGAAAAAAAAACAAAAGUCAGACCACUACACAUAGGGUAUGGAAAUCUGAAAAGCACCGAGAUAUCAGAUUGUACAUUUGCCGACGAUGUAAUAUUUUUAGCAGCGAAUGAAGACGCAGUUUUAAAAAGGUAUGGUAUGACUAUGAACAAAGAAAAAUCUAAGGUUAUGGCAUUAGCCAAAGAAAGAGAGGAUGUACAUGUUCAGAUAGAUGAUACAGAGAUUAGACAGGUACAACAAUUUGAAUACUUGGGAGUAACCAUUGAAGAAACAGGUAGACAGGGAGCCGAGAUCAAUAAAAGAAUUGAUAAAGUGAAUAAACUGUACCACGCAAUAGGACAAACAUUUAUUAACAAGAAAGAAGUAUCGAAACAUACAAAAAUAAAGGUAUUUAAGGCUAUAUACAGACCAGUACUUACGUACGGAUGUGAAUCCUGGGUACUAAAUAGACAACACAAAAGUAAAAUACAAGCUGCAGAAAUGAGGUAUCUACGCAGAGUUCAAGGAGUCACUAGAAGGGAUAGGGUAAGAAAUAACUACAUAAGAGAAGAACUGAAAAUCGAGACAAUGAUGGAGUAUGUUGAAAAAAGACAUUAAGUUGGUGGGGGCAUUUACAACGACCACAGACAGAAGUACCAGUUAAGAAGAUAUGGGAAACGAAGGUGCAGGGGAAAAGAAUUAGAGGAAGACCGAGAGAGACAUGGAACGAAGUGAUGGCAAAGAUUCUUGACAAAAAAGGAAUAUCAUGGAACGACGCUAAGGCUAUGGCACAUGACAGAAAGCAAUGGAAGAGAUUUGUGCACUGUUAACAGGGCACAAGUCAUACCUACACCCGAGAGGGUAGAAGGUCUAAAGAUUAUAUAUACCAGAUUAAAAACAAUAGAAAUCCUUCUCUGGUUACACCAUCCGAGGCUUCUAAAAAUGCAAGACAUACAGAUUCUGAGACUGUAGGAAGAUUAGGGAAUUUUACAAUUUAUAAUUCACAUCCCAUCUGCUCAGGUGGUAAAUUUCCAGCGAGAAUGGUUCCCUUCGUACUCCAAAUAGAGUAAAUAUAUAAAUUAAAAAUGAAUAAACAUUUUCAAUUUCGUUGCAACCCAAAACUGCAGUCGUAUUAUAUUCCAGUUCAAUCAGAGUGUACAGCAAGCAUCUCUACCGGUUUCGGGGCUUGUUAGCCCCUCAUCAGGAGAUACAUGCUCUUCUCUCUGACGGAACCAGGACAAUACUCCGCGUGUAGUCACGGAUUUCAACGAACGAAAUGGCAGGGAUGCCCUACAUCUGCUAGAAAAAAGUUGUUUUUAAUCUAAUAGCACAUAAAAUCCUAUAAAUAUUUAAAAAUUUUAGCACAUAAAAUUUUACAUCCUACCAGAUUAAACCAAUGGAAAACCUUCUCUGGUUACACCGAGGCUUCUAAAAAUGCAAGGCUUACGGAUUCUGAGACUGUAGGAAGAUGGGGGAAUUUUACAAUUUAUAAUUUACAUCCCAAUUCACUCACAUUGAUCAAUAAAAAACUGCAUAAGAAAAAGUUUUUUCUUUUAAUCUUACAUGGGAUCCCUCGCUCUCUUCAUAGUGGUAAUUUGACAUUAUUGACGUAACUUAAAUAUUGUAUCUUCAGAUGAAAUAAUUAGGACAUUUCGAUAAUUAGAUUUUGAUAACUAUUAAAUAUGAACUGACAUAACUAUACCGGGUGGACCAAAAGUCAGUUAACGUUAUCAAAAAAAGUCACGCGCAAGUUUGCGGCGUCUCCAAGAAAAUAUAACAUGCUCUGUGAAGGGCCUUGCAAAUAAUCCACAAUUACAAGGUAUUCGAUAUUUUCAGCAAGACGGUGCACCGACUCAUUACGGAUUGCAAGUUCGUGAGUUUCUAAAUGACCAGUUUAGUGAUUGGAUAGGGAGAAGAGACACAGUUGAAGGGCCCGCGCGUUCGCCAGAUUUGACGCCCCCGUGAUUUUUCCUUGUGGGGAGUACUUAAAGAUAAAGUUUUUGCCAAUUUGAAGUUCUCCGUGCCAACUUAAAAGUAUGUAGAAAGACUUGUUUCACUGUGUAUAAGGGUUGCCAAAAAUGUAUUGAUGAAGGUGGUUUACCUUUUGAACAUAAAAUGUAAAGCAUGCACUUCUUUUUACCUACUUAUUUACAAUAAACUUUUUUUUUACUUCAGUUAUUUUUGCUUUUAUUUAUACAAAACGGUUAACUGACUUUUGGUCUACCCGGUAUAUAACAUUGCAUAACAACUACUAUAAAUAGAGGUUAUUAUAAUCUCCCACGCUAUUUUGAACUUACAAAACUACAAAAGAAUUAAAAACCUAAAUCCAAAAUCUUGAAUUGAGACGUCGAAUUCGUUCAGAUCUUCUUAACUGUGGAAGUGCAUUACGUUCUUCAGCAGCAGGUUCAUUAAUGGGUACCAGUUCAUUAUCAGGAUGAUCAGGUCCUAUCACUGGAUCUACAUUUUCGUUAAUAGGGUUUGGAUGUAAAUGAAGAACGUUGGAUAGACGGCAGAAGAUACAGGGGGGGGGGGGGGGGGGUUUGACAUUGUGACUGAUAAAUAAUUACUUCUGGUUCGUUUACAAAGGUUACAUUCUUUUUAGGUACCAUGAUUUUACGAAUUUGGUCAAUGUGACGUUUUAGACAAUAUCCAUCAUCAAGUUGGACUUGGUAAUGGAAUAAUCCAUACUUUUGAACAAUUGUGCCAAAUGUCCAAAGUUCCUGGUUUCCUUGGUAAUACCUUACUUGUACUCUCUCCCCCACAUUUAACUGUCUUGCACCAGUAGGUUGAUUUUCUGAUCUGGUAAGUUUUGUUGGACGUAGUGCGUCGAGUUUGAUUCUUAAACUUCUGUGCAAAUACAUUUCUGCUGGUGAUUUUCCACAGGAAAGUGGUGUCGCUCUAUAUUUUAAAAUAAUUUCUCGUACUUUCUUACAAUUUUGUAAUCUACACAAAGUCUCACACCACCAUCAGCUUUUGGAGUAACAACCAGUUGUGAACCCCAAUCACUAUGGUUGACUUUAGAUAUAAUUCCUUGAGCUUCUAAGCUGUCAAGUGCUUUUUCAACUUUUCCCCCGAGUGCAUAAGGUACAUCUCGUUCUUUAAAGUAGACUGGCUUGGCAUUUUUACACAGUUGCAAAUUUACUUUAAAAUUUGAUACAAGUCCAAUUCUUUCUUCAAAUAUGUCUGAAUAUUUUUGAAAAAAUUCUUCAUUAGCCGGUAUAUUUUUAAUUUGUGUGAUUCCUGUUGAGCUAUCGGUGUCUUGAAGGUUAAGUUGGAUUUAUAGUUUGACGUAGCGUAGACGUAGACGCAACGGAGACGUAAGAAACGGACUGGAAACGUAAGAAAAUAAUAUGUCAAUUUAUAAUUCGACGUAGCGGAAUUUUUGCGCACGAGUAGAAAGAGUAAACAAUGACUUAGACUUAAUUCUAAUUCAACAACAUAGCCUAUAAAUUAUACGAACAGUAAACAAACUUUGUGUUUCUUUAUUUAUACUUAUACCAUUGUAUAACUAGCUUAUACUAUUAUUUAUUAUAAUAUUUAUCUGUUUUGUGUGUUACAUGGAUUAGGAAAUAAACGAAGCUAUGCUCAUUGGUGCCGCGCAUGCCGUGGGAUUUCCAACUAUUUUGUUUCAUUUCCUGGUCUUUAAAAUGUUUAUUGGAUUCACCUAUCCUAUAAUAUUAUGUGUGGAUAACCCCGAAUUAGGCUAUAAACAACUCAUAUUUAUCUGAAAUAUUAAAAUGACUCUAUGAUAUAUUUUUAUUAAAUUAAUAACUUAACAUCCAUUGUAUUAACAAAUAAUUAACAAAAUUCGAAUAUGUUGAUAAACAACUUUAACUUUACAAAAUUGAUGAGGGCGUGUUCACUUUGGGUGACAGAACAAAAUUCUUGAAUUUCUUCCUUUUGAUUGGCCAGACGUAAGAAACGCACUGUAAAAGAUGAAAGUUGGUGAACUCUUCCGUUCCGUUACGUUUCUCUUACGUUCCGUCAGGCGCUUGCGUUCAUUUAUAAACACGAGUACACAAAAUUCGGUGUUGAUCUUUUCCAGUGCGUCUCCGUUGCGUCUACGUUUACGCUACGUCAAACUAUAAAUCCCACUUUAAUGUUUAAAUGUCUUAUCCAUACACGCCCUAAUAAGGAGGCCAAUUCAUCAAGAACUACAUAAAAUUCUUCUGUUGAAAUUUUAUUUUGAUAUUGUAUUGAGGUUUUUGCUUUCCCCAGGGGAUAAAAUACGUUUUUUGUAUAUGAUCUAAAUGCAAUAUCAGGUUUUUGAACUGGUAAAUCAAGAUCUAGUUCUUUAAAUUAUGAUUCUGAGAUGAGUGUAAAUCCUGCUCCAGAAUCAACUUCAAAUGUUGCCGGUUUUUAAUAAGCACUGUCACAUAAAACUUUCAGCAUCUCUGUAAGAUUGAUUUUCAUAAAUGUCUACAAUUUUAUUAAUGCCAAAAGUAUCCUCUGGUUCUUUUUCGCUGGUUGAUGGUUGAUAUUCAUUAAUUAGAUGAUGGGCGAGUUAGUUUUUAUCUUUGUUUGCUAAAAGCAUUGAAAUACAAACUGAAAUGACGUGACCGUAUUUUUUGCAACCUUUGCACUGAAGUCGUUCGGGAUUGAUUUUACAGUUUUUUUAACAAGAUGUUGUAAGGAUGUAGGAUGUAGGAUGAAGUAACCUCCUCUAUUUAUAGUAGUUGUUAUGUAAUGUUAUAUAUAGUUAGGUCAGUUCAUAUUUAAUAAAUGCCAAAAUAUAAUUAUAGAAAUGUCUUAUUUCAUCUGAAGAUACAAUAAAUUAGCGACGAGGAUGGGAUAAUUAGGACAUUUCGAUAAGUAUAUUUUGACAACUAUUAAAUAUGAAGUGACGUAACUAUAUAUAGCAUUACAUAACAACUACUAUAAAUAGAGGAGGAUAUUACAUUAAACCUUUUGAAUUCUAAGAUCAAUUAUUCAUUAGAGAUCUUUUAUUGUAGCAUAGCUCUGAAGAUGGCUGUAUAAGCCGAAAGCGCUCAGCUAGGAAAUUAAGUAUUUUACACUCUUCAAAGGUACACACUCCCUUUCAUUUAUUAGUACAGAUUACAGAUUAUUCCAUUCGAAUCCGUGUGUGGUUUGUUAAUGAAUAUUUUCAAAGAAAGUUGUGUGAGGUUACGUUAUGAAAUUGUUUUAUAUAAAUAUUUUACCUCCAAUUUUAUAUAGACUCACCGGUACAAAAUUUCGCCACCCAAAAUUUUUGAUUAAGUUUGACAUUAUAUAACUUCUUUAUUUUUACUCCGAUUUUCAAGAUUCUUACAUCAGUUUGUAGGUACAUGUAUUGAUGUCGUUUGUUAUUUUUCCGGUAACAAAAUUUUUUUGCUUAGAUGGAAUUAUACGGGGUGAAUGGAAACGUUGUUUUUUCUCCUAACUUUAAAAAAUUCUGUGAAAAAAUUUAAGGGCUUAUUUUGUUUCAUACUUCUUUUGUAUUAUCCUGGAGGUAUCACUAAGGUUUUGUUUUUUGAAUUAUCCGAAUAUCUCUUUUCUUGUAAGAGCUGUAAAUAAAAAACUGAUUUGAAGGUUUAUUUAAUUAAAAAUAUCAAACGCACUAAAAUUAACAAAGCAAAAUUAACAACAAAACAAAACAAUUCAGUAGCGGGUAUGUUCACAUCUUGCAGCAGCGACUGCUCGCAAUCUAUUUAACAUCGAAUAAAGAUGUGUUAUCCUUGCCUGGGGAAUAGCCCGAUAUUCCUCUACCAGCGCCAUAACUGUACCCAAUUUUCUGGAGGCCUAGGAUGACGGCGAAUAGCUUUUUUAAUUCAUACCAUAAAUUCUCAAUAUGAUUGAGAUCUGGGCUGCAUACGGGCCAUUCUAAUCUUAUCAAUCCAACCUCUAUUUUAUGAGUCAAUCAGUGUUUUUAUUUACAAGAGAUAUUCGGAUAAUUCAAAAAACAAAAUUUUAGUGAUGCCUCUGAGAUAAUAUGACAGGACCUUGAAACAAAAUCAACCAUUCCAUUUUUCCACAGAAUUUUUUAAAGUUAGGAGAAAACACAACGCUUCCAUUCACCCUGUAUAAUGCCAUGCAGGCAAAAAAAUUUUGUUACCGGAAUAAUACCAAACGAUAUCAAUGCACGUACCUACAAACUGGUGCAAGAAUCUUGAAAAUCGGAGCACAAGUUAAUAAUAAAGUUCUAAAUUAAUUUUGGGUGGCGGAAUUUUGUGCCGGUGAGUGUAUAUGUAGAUAGGCACUUGCCAAGCGGCGUAGUCAAAAAAUAUACUGUAUUUUACUUUUAGUCGAUUUUUUUGCUCACAAGUAUUUAUACUCCAUUCCUUUGCUUACGUAUAUCAGACGUAAAUAAAUUUUGCCAAGCAGUAUUUUAAUUUUCAAAUUAAACAUAACUGAAAGUGGCAAUAUUGUACUUAUUUUAAUGUUUAAAUUUAUUAGAUGUUUUAAAAUUAUGGAAAUAAGAGCUGUAAUGAAAAUAUACAGGAUUCUUAAACUGUGUUCAAACAUGUAACAAGACACCUCGUAAUGCGAGAGUUCGUAACCCCACAAAUAGUAACGAACAUUUCGUGACAUCAAAAUUAUUUUGGGGUAUUUUUGUUAACGUGGAAACUAACCGUUUUUAUAGUUACAAUUGAAUUAACGUUUACGAGUUUAACAAACCAGCAUCAGGAUAAACAUUUUUGAUACAUUUUAUAUUUCAUAUAUUUAAAAUUGUCUUAAAUAAAUACCGGGUGUCCACUUAUAUUUUCCCCAAUUUUAACUGCCUAUAACUUCUAAACGGCUCAAGAUAGAAAUAUGCAGUUUCCGCUGAAAUGUUUUAUUUUAGUAAAAGUUUUGUCUGAAUGGAUUGAAUUUUUUAUAUCGAUUUCAAAUACGAAAAAAAAAUGGCGGAUUUUUGAAAAAAACGUUGAUUUUUUUUAAUGGAACACCCAGUAUAUUUUUUUUACAAAUUGAAAGAAAGGUCAUUCACCUAUCCAGCGAUAUAAAGUUUUUCAAAAUCGGUUAUCAAAUCACUGAGUAAUUAAUUUUUUAAAUGAGAGGUGCCACGUGGAUAUCACAUACCUAAAUAACAUGUAUGUGAUUUCCACAUUGCAUCUCUAAUUUUAAAAAUUAAUUGCUCAGUCAUUUGACAACCUAUUUUAAAAAUUUUUAUAUCGCUGGAUAAGUAAUUGAUCAUUUUUUCAAGUUACAAAAAAAUAUACUGGGUGUUUUAAUAAAAAAAGUCAAAAACGUUUUUUUUUUUUCAAAAAUCCGCCAUUUUUUAUUUAAAAGCGAUAUAAAAAAUGGUCAUUUACCUAAAAACUUAAAAAAAAACGGUCAUUUACCUAUCCAGGAAUUUAAACUUUUUUAAAAUCGGUUGUCAAAUGACUGAGCAAUUAAUUUUUAAAAUGAGAGAUGCAAUGUGAAAAUCGUUUAACAUAAUAUCAAUUUGCUUAGUUAUGGUAUUUAGGUAUGUGAUAUCCAUGUUGCACCUCUCAUUUUAAAAAUUAAUUACUCAGUCAUUUGACAACCGACUUUGAAAAACUUUAUAUCGCUGGAUAGGUGAAUGACGUUUCUUUCAAUUUACAAAAAAAUAUACUGGGUAUUCUAUUAAAAAAAAAAAGUCAACAACGUUUUUUUAAAAAAUCGCCAUUUUUUUUUUCGUAUUUGAAAGAGAUAUAAAAAAUUCAACCCAUUCAGACAAAAUUUUUACUAAAAUAAACAUUUCAGGCGAAAACCGCAUAUUUCUAUCUUGAGCCGUUUAGAAGUUAUAGGCAGUUAAAAUGGGUGAAAAUAUAAGUGGACACCCGGUAUAAUAUAGUAAUGUAUAUUGUAUUAAUCAUUAUAAUAAAUACGUUAUUAUUAAACUCUCUUUAUUCGAUCGAUAUUUAUUUUUCAGAUAAUUUCAGAAGUGAUAAUUCAAGACGAAAAAUUAAAAAAAUCUUUUGUUGUAAUAUUUACGAAAAUAUUAAAUAAAUAUGCAUAAAUUGUGUGAAAUAUUUUUAUAAAGAAGUGGUCUUAAAAAAUGUACUAUUACUUUUGGUAUAGGAAAGUUUGUAAAAUGCGUUUUUUUGUAUAAAUUUAGUUUGCUAAAAUUGGCGUUACGGAUAUGUAUAGUUACGAACUGUCGCCAUUACGAAGUGUUACCGUUACUAACUGUCCGUUGCCACUUGUCUGGUUACCAACUGUCUGUUUUCACUGUUAUAAAUUUUUCUUCGCAUAUUUUGACUAUAAAAUUAUCGUCUCUUUCUGACAAUUUUCAAUAAAUCUUUAUGUACGAAGUCAAUAGUGACAUUUUAUCAAACGUGUCAACCAAUUGCAACUAGGCAGGCAGGCUAUAACUAUAGCUUAACUACACUCUUUUUAAUAUGUAAAGAAUCCAUAGUAAUACUUGCCAUCUGACAUCAGAUCAUAACUAGAAACUAUAAUAGGCUUGGAUCCCGCGUACCAAAAAAGUUGAUUAAUAGCAAGCUAAAGAUUUGUUAAUAGCUUAACGGUGUCUAGUCGGACAAACUUUAAUGUACGGGUACACUGGAACAGGGGAAAUUUUAAUUGUGGUACAGUUUAAAAAUUUGAAACGUCAGAUUACGAAAACGCCCCAUGUAUUGUCGGACAGAACUUACAGCACGGACAGAGUGCUAUUUAUCACCAGUAUAAUUCCUGUCAUUUGACAUGUUCUUCGUGUUGGACUUAUUAAAAUGUCCAGUUGGUGAUAAAAAUACCAGUCUUAUUUUUGCAUGCGAGUUUAAUGAAAUGGUAACAAACCAAUUGAAAGUUCUGUCCGACAAAAUACAUAGAACGUUUUCGUAGUGUGACGUUCCAAAUUUUUAACCUGUUCCACAAUUAAAACUUCCCCUGUUCCAGUGUUCCCAUACGUAAAAGUUUGUCCGACUAGACACCGUUAAGCUAUAGUCGGUUCGCUAAACACAACUGGCUAGUGAUUUUAGUAGGUAAUUUUUUUGUUUUUGGCCAACUUUGCUAAAAUUGGCAAAAUUACUAACUAUUUAGUAAUUAUUUUUUUAAAAUAAUUACUAAAAUCACGAGCAAGUUGUGUCUUGAGUUUAACGAACCGACUAUAUUAACAAAUCUUCAGCUUGCUGUUAAUCAGCUUUUUUUUGGUACGCGAAAUCCAGGCCUAUAAAAAUAUGCUGCUAGUUUACUAGAAAUUUAAACAAUUCGGUUUUCCUAUUUAGUUAUAAAAAUUAAUGUAAUUGGUUACUGUAUUGAAUAAUUUUAUUUAUAUUAUCUUAAUUCGGUUUCGGCGCUAUCUAUACAUAACUUUUUGUAUUAUAAGAUUUGGUUUUGUGUGGAUUUCAAAAAAUUGUCAAGUGUUUGUAAGCGAACUGUCUUAUUUAUCGUUACGUUUUUAACAUACUUAGUAUUUAAUGUCAUUGCGCACUGUGUUAUAUUUUUUUAGUAUAGAUUUUAUGAAUUGUUCCUUAUACACUUAUGUACCUAAGAUAAUAAAGAUUUAGAAUUUGAA
rnacentral:misc_RNA from 1 species